UAGCCGUAAACGAUACUCGCUAGGUGUCGGCCACGGUGCGACCGUUGUCGGUGCCGUAGGGAAGCCGUGAAGCGAGCCACCUGGGAAGUACGGCCGCAAGGCUGAAACUUAAAGGAAUUGGCGGGGGAGCACCACAACGGGUGGAGCUUGCGGUUUAAUUGGAUUCAACGCCGGAAAUCUUACCGGGACCGACGGCUAUAUGAAGGCCAGGCUGAAGACUUUGCCGGAUUAGCUGAGAGGAGGUGCAUGGCGUCAGUGACU
rnacentral:rRNA from 1 species